rnacentral:rRNA from 1 species
CCUACGGGUGGCAGCAGUCGAGAAUCAUUCACAAUGGGGGAAACCCUGAUGGUGCGACGCCGCGUGGGGGAAUGAAGGUCUUCGGAUUGUAAACCCCUGUCAUGUGGGAGCAAAUUAAAAACAUAGUACCACAAGAGGAAGAGACGGCUAACUCUGUGCCAGCAGCCGCGGUAAUACAGAGGUCUCAAGCGUUGUUCGGAAUCACUGGGCGUAAAGCGUGCGUAGGCUGUUUCGUAAGUCGUGUGUGAAAGGCGCGGGCUCAACCCGCGGACGGCACAUGAUACUGCGAGACUAGAGUAAGGGAGGGGGAACCGGAAUUCGCGGUGUAGCAGUGAAAUGCGUAGAUAUCGAGAGGAACACUCGUGGCGAAGGCAGGUUCCUGGACAUUAACUGACGCUGAGGCACGAAGGCCAGGGGAGCGAAAGGGAUUAGAUACCCGAGUAGUC